rnacentral:rRNA from 1 species
CCUACGGGAGGCAGCAGUGGGGAAUCUUGCGCAAUGGCCUAACGGCUGACGCAGCGACGCCGCGUGUGGGAUGAAGCUCCUCGGAGUGUAAACCACUGUUGCCCGGGACGAAUAGCUCGAUUAAUCGAGCCUGACGGUACCGGGUGAGGAAGCACCGGCUAACUCCGUGCCAGCAGCCGCGGUAAUACGGGGGGUGCGAGCGUUGUCCGGAAUCACUGGGCGUAAAGGGCGCGUAGGUGGUUUGAUAAGGGUGUGGUGAAAGCCCGGGGCUCAACCCCGGGUCUGCCGUGCCGACUGUUAAACUCGAGGGCUGUAGAGGCAGACGGAAUUCCGGGUGUAGCGGUGGAAUGCGUAGAGAUCCGGAGGAAGACCGGUGGCGAAGGCGGUCUGCUGGGCAGUUUCUGACACUGAUGCGCGACAGCGUGGGGAGCAAACAGGAU